rnacentral:tRNA from 1 species
AUUAAUAUAGUAUAAAAAUUACAAUUAACUUCCAAUUAAAAAAUCUUAUUUUAAUUAAGUAUUAAUA